rnacentral:tRNA from 1 species
GGCUCCGUAGCUCAAUUGGAUAGAGCAUCUGACUACGGAUCAGAAGGUUGCAGGUUCGAGUCCUGCCGAGGUCA